UCAAGAAAAAAAAAUCCUCGAAAUGAUCUAUUACCAUCUUUGACUCUCUCUCUCUCUCUCUCUCACUAGGGCUAAAGAUUUUCGUCUUUAAAAGGCCAUUCUCCGAUGGUUUAUUCUUCACUUGUUCUCUUUCUCCUCCUUUAUCUUUUUCUUUCCAGAAUUCUCAUAUAUUAUAGGUUUUUUUUUAUCUCUGAUAAUAGAUCCGAUGAUCUACCAGCUUCCUUCAUUCAAGUUUGAUCUUUCCAUUUGUUAUUUUAAGUUAACUCUUCUGUUUUUAAUAGUUUAAUGGUUAAUUUAUAGAGGUUUUGUUUAAACUUAAGAAUCCAAGUACAAGUCUCCCUCCUUGUUUUUCUUGUUUGGAUCUCUAGUGAUUUAAGGCUUAGUGUUGGUUUCAAAUGCUGCAAAUAUCAUUUACCUAGUUGUUUUACCCUCCGUAUUACAAUAAAUAUCUCCAUAUGAAACAUAUAUAUAGGUUUAGGUUAGAGGAUGCAUGUGACUAACAAAAAAAAAAAGUUCAAGGGGUUCUUGAUCAUAUGAAAAUGAGUUACUUAAAGCAGAUGCACACGAUAUUAUGUACAAGAACAAAAAAGGAAGAAGAAGAGGAAGAGCUCCUUGAAGUUCAAUGGAGGGUUUAGCAGGGAGCUUUCACUUACCCUUUUAAUGGCUUCAUUCUUCUUUGGAUUGAAGGGAGCUCUUCAUCUCUCUCUCCCUAUCUCUCUCUCAAAUUAUUAUUGACUUUAAUAAUGACUUUGAUCAUUAUCUGUGUGCUGCAGGGGGUGAACAUACAUGGAUGAUGGAUCUUGACUAGGUUGGAAAAGGAUUUUUNUUUUUUUUUUUGGUAACAUGUUAAUAUGUAACUUUUUAAUAUGCUUUGUACUUUGUAUUUCCACUUUACUUUAAUUAUGUUGCACUGUUAAUUAAUUCGCAUGUGAAGUUAUGCUUCUCUGUAUACCACGACUAGUUCUUAAUAAUUUUGUUUCCUGCCUAAAUAAAGCAUCUAGUUUGAUGCACAAUAAACCAAGUGUCUACAAGUAAUUAAUAUCCGUCUUCAUAUA